GACGAACGCUGGCGGCGUGCUUAACACAUGCAAGUCGAACGGAAAGGCCCUGCUUGCAGGGUACUCGAGUGGCGAACGGGUGUGUAACACGUGGGUGAUCUGCCCUGCACUUCGGGGUAAGCCUGGGAAACUGGGUCUAAUACCGGAGAGAAGCCAUCUUGCGUGUGAGGGUUGGUAAGAUUUUUGGGUGUGGGGUGAGUUCGCGGGCUAUCAGCUUGCUUGUGGGGUGAUGGGCUGCCUACGAGGUGGCGGGGGGCCGGCCGGGGGGGGUGGGCGGCCACAUUGGGGAUGGGAUACGGGCCAGACUCCCACGGGGGGGAGGAGGGGGGAAUUUUGCACAAUGGGCGGAAGGCUGAUGCAGGGACGGCGGGGGGGGGGAGACCGGCUUCGGGUUGUAAACCCGUUUCGCUAGGGACGGAGCUGUUUGUGACGGUACUGGGAUAAGAAGCACCGGCUAACUACGUG
rnacentral:rRNA from 1 species